rnacentral:rRNA from 1 species
UACGGAGGGGGCUAGCGUUGUUCGGAAUUACUGGGCGUAAAGGGAGCGUAGGCGGACAUUUAAGUCAGGGGUGAAAUCCCGAGGCUCAACCUCGGAACUGCCUUUGAUACUGGGUGUCUUGAGUGUGAGAGAGGUGAGUGGAACUCCGAGUGUAGAGGUGAAAUUCGUAGAUAUUCGGAAGAACACCAGUGGCGAAGGCGACUCACUGGCUCAUUACUGACGCUGAGGCUCGAAAGCGUGGGGAGCAAACAGG